GGAUGUAGCUCGGUGGUAGAGCGCUUGCCUAACAUGUGUGAGGCCCUGGGUUUGAUCCCCAUUACCA
rnacentral:tRNA from 1 species